rnacentral:SRP_RNA from 1 species
GCCAGGUGUGGUGGCACAUGCCUGUGGUCCCAGGUACUUGGGAGGCUGAGGCAGGAGGAUGGCUUGAACCCAGGAGGUCGAGGCUGCAGUGAGCUAUGAUGGUGCCACUGCACUCCAGCCUGGGUGACAGAGUGAGACCCUGUCUCAA